rnacentral:lncRNA from 1 species
AAAACUCGGAAUAGUCACAAUUUACUACCGGGAGGUGGUGUCCGAUCCUUAACGCUAAAGGGAGGCUGGGCGGGCGGAGACAGACCCCAUUUUUGCAGAGACCCCAGACACCGGGAUGGUGGGGAGGCCGGCCAGCUGUCCGGAGAGCAUGUUGGGAAUCGUAGUCCCGCUGGGAGAAGUGUGCGCCUUGCAUGCUGGGAUGUGUAGUCCUGGCCGCAGUGCUUGCUGGGACCCGGCUUUGUCUUCUGGGACUCGCGAGAGAGGCUGGGUAGGGUUUUGUCUGGCGCUUUUGCGCGGGUUCCCUGGCAAUAAGCGUCAUUUUGUUCGUUUGUUUUGUAUUCACUUCUAUUAUUGUCUGGAUUACCCCGACAACUGGUGCGUUACGACUUAGGAGAAGGAACACCAGUUCAAACCGCUUAUAAUAAAAGCAAAGGGGUUGUGUUAAGUGUUCUUGUAUUCAUCAGGCAGCAGGAUGAUCUCUUGUGGAGUAAAAUGUCAGGUGUUUUUUUUUUUAAGAAAUCGAUUUUUAGUUGUGACGUCAUUUGGCAGGCUGUCCACGGUAUCACUUUCUGCUUAUUUUUAAAAGGUCUGAUUUAAGCCGACGCUGUUCUACCCUGCCACUCCUAGCCAUAAAUUGGUACUGUGUGUAAGUUUUGCUUUUUGUUUGAUCUGAAGCAGCUUUUGUUUCUUUCCCUCAGAAGCGAUGUCCCCGUUAACUUUUGUUCAGUAAAGAGACAGUGUAAGAAAAGGUGGAACUGUGUUGCUGAUAACUUAUCAGGUCUUUUAUACCCUUUUGUGUCUUUUUAAGUUUGCUUCUGAUCCCUGAGUUUACCUUAUGUCAGGCAUGUGGAAGUAUAAGCACAGUUCAAAUAUGUUAUUGGAUAAGCGUGUAAUUGAAUAAGGAGUUGUAACCUAAAGUUAGAAAAAUCUAACUCAUAAAGAGUAUGGGAAUUCCUCCUUGUCUAUCAAAACAAGUUGGUUAAGUCAGAGGCAAGACGAAAGGCCCAGGUUUACAUUACAUGUAAAUUGUAUGUGCUUUUGCUAGUUUUCCUGCCACUUAGGUGGCUUACUUAACAUGCUUCAGUUAACUCACCUUUAAAAUGGGAGCAAUAAUAGUUAUCACGGGGUUGUUGUGUUCUUACAUUUGGACAUAUAGUUAGCUGUAACUAUAAGUUAUUUUUGUUAUGCAUCCCAAAAACUUGGUUUCUGUCCCCACCCCCCGCCCACCAACUUUUUCUUACAUAUCAAAACCUUAUAAUAAAAUCCAUGGAGACAUAGCAAUUUUGAACAGAAAGAACCUUUGAGAUUAUUUGGUCUGCUUCCCACAUUUUAACUGCCGUACGAAGAGGAGACAUGAACAGUUCUCAGUCUUUGGAGCCAGACAGAUUUGGGUCAGGUUCAAAUCCUUGGCACUCUACUAAGAUGUUUUAUAUAAAGUACAGCUUGUAAGGGCACCAGGCCUCCUGGAGUCAGACAUCAUGGGCUUGAAUCCUAGCUAUUCUUAUUUGUGAGCUGUGUGAUGUUGCGAUAAUUACUAAGCCUUUCUGUAUUCCAUCUCAUGGUGUUUAUGUAAUGAUGGAAACUAUAUGUAAAGCACUAAACAUAUAUAAACAUAAACAUAUAAAGUCUGUCAUCUUUGUCAAAUUCCUCUUUGCCCUCUGUUUCCUCGACUGUAAAAUGGAAGUAAUACCUAUUUUUGCUAGGAUUUUGGAAGGAUUAGAUAUAAAUAAAACAUGGUAUGGUGGUAUUUGAUAAAUUGUAGUAAUAGAAGUAAUAUCAUUCAGUGAAAGUCAGUACAAACUUUAAUCUUGUACUGCUGUGGAUGUGUUGUGUAGUCAUGGUGUAGCCCCCUUUUAUUUAAUCGAUUUGCCUUAAUUAUUCAGCACAACAGGUAAGUGAUAAGAGGUUGUAAAAUCUACCAUAUUUAUUAUCUAAUUGAAAUUCUUAGCUGGGCCAGGCAUGGCGGCUCACAUCUGUAAUCCCAGCACUUUGGGAGGCCAAGGCAGGAGGAUCACCUGAGCCCAGGAGUUUGAGGCUGCAGUGAACUAUGAUCACUCCACUGCACUGCAGCCUGGGCAACAGAACAAGAGUCUGUCUCUAAAAAUAAAAAAAUAAUUCCUAGCUAGGUGCAGUGGCUCAUGCCUCUAGUACCAGCUACAUGGGAGGCUGAGGCAUGUGGGUUGCUUCAGCCCAGGAGUUGAAGUCCUGCCCAGGCAAUAUAGCAAGACUAUUAAAAAAAUUCACUUUUAACACUUUAUUAUAUUUUAUUACUUUAUAUGUUUAUAUAUUUUAUUACAUGUAGAAUUUAUCACACUUACUGUUGUAAUGUCAGAAAUUUUAAAAUGAGACUUGGACCAAAUAAUGACAAUCCCUACAAAUCCUUGUUAUGUAAUUAUGAAUCCAAUUAUUAGGUUUCAUUCCAUAUUUGUUUUAGAGAAUAAGAAGGACCUCAAAAUUGGAAGCAGAAACAGACCACUUCCAAAGAACAAUAAAACAAAAAUGCAAAAUUAAGAAAAGCCCAAACAAAAAUGCCAUUCAAAGAGAUAAUAUGCAGUAGAUAUAAAAAACUAUGCCAGGCUUCCUUGAAAGGAGGAAGAGAUGGGCAAAGGAGGGGAUAUGCAGAUAGAGUAAUAUACAUGAAAGUGCAUAUGACUUUGAAUUUCUGGUAUCAACCAGUAUGGCAGUCUUCUCUAUAACCAGCAUAAUGCCAGGGUCUGGAGGGUUACAGAAGUAGUAUAAAACUUGUUCUAAAUCAAGAUGUGUUUUGUCACUUCUCUGCAAUGCUGGGGCAUCAUGAAUACUCAAUUAUCUGAAAUCUUGUCCGUUUGAACCUUUUUCAAUAUUUGCUUACCAAAAGAUUUUUGUUUUCUUCUUAUAUAUUAACCUGAAAAUGUAUCUUUUAAACCUUAAUUGGUUCUGCUAAAACCUAUUUUGUCCUUAUUUUAAGUUAUAAUAGAAUGAUCAUCUAAAAAUAGGAAUGCAUGGGGAAAUCACGCAGGGAGCAGAGACUUAUAAAAAGGUACACCUAGAAAUAAGGUAAGUAUGUUUUGUCUGGUAGGACAUGGAAAAGAUAUGUAAAAUGAUGUUUCUUUUAGCCUAAAAAGGAUCAUAUUUUGUAAUAAAUGUGGCAGACAAAAACUCAAUGUGUAGGAAAAUGUUCAUGUCUGCCCCCAAACUCACUGUGAGCCACUUUGCCACUGGAACACCGUGCUCAGGCACACUGGCCCCCUACCCCACAUCAAGGUGUUCCUUUAUUCCCCUGCCUAGAAAAUUCUUCCUCAGGCUCCUGGCUAGGCCAGUUCCUCAUCCUUCAAGGCUCUAUUGAAUUCUUCACCAUCUGUAGAGAAGGUUUCUGAAUGCCCACCCAGUAAGCACAUUACCCUUCCCCAAAGUACACCCAGUUCUUGUCCAGUUAAGGAGAAGCUGGUGCCAGCCCGAAUGCGGAGGGUGGUCACUGUUUGGCUUAGGCCAAUCAGCACAUCCUAUUCCCCUUGGCCACAGUCGUUGGUUCCAGGAUGGUCAGGUGACCUAGGCAGCCCAAUCAGGGUGACUUUCAGGGCUAUGGUUUAGAAUGCCUGGGUAUGAGGGUAUUUCUCUGCCCCUUUCCAUCCCUUUCCUUCCACUCCCUCCAUCUUCUUCUUCCUCCAGGCGCUGUUGUGUGAGGUUAUGAGGCCCAGAACCAUUACAACAACCUUACUAUCAUCCUGAAAAGGAAAUGACACAUGGAAGUGGAUAGAACUAAGAAAAUUAAGUUGGAGCCUAGGGCUGAAGUCAGUCUUGAGACCCACCCUACCUCUAGAUUUAAGUUAUGCCAGCCAUACAUUUCCUCACCACUUAAGCCAACUUGAAUUGGGGUUUCUGUUACUUGCUACCCAAAGCAAGUAACCUCCUCAGGAAGGUCUUUCAUGACCAUAUUACCUAAAGCACCUCCUGGUUCACUCUCUGUUGUUAUCCACUGAUUUCCUUCACAACAUGUACCACACUCUAUACUACAACAUAUAGCUGCAGUGAUCUUGGGGUGUGUGUGUGUGUGUGUGUGUGUGUGUGUGUUAGGUACUUCCCUUCUUUGAUUGUCUGACCCAGAGGGCAGUGAUUGUUUUUCUUCUUUAUAGUGCAUUAUAGAUGCUCAAUCAAUAUUUGUUGAAUAGUUGAAUGAAAAAACAAACUUAUUGGGAAAUGCUUUUCUCUAAUGCAGAGUUUCUCAGCCUUGGCACUGUUGACAUUUUGGGCUGGAUAGUCAUCGUGUGGGCUGUCCUGCACCCUGAAUAAUUAACUGCAUCCAUGGCCACAUCCUACUAGUUGCCAGCAGCAGUGUCCUGCUCUUCCUCCCGCACCCCCCACACCCCCACCACCUCACCCCUGGCCCAAUUGCAACAACCGAAAAUGUCUCCAGACAUUGCCGAAUGUCACCAAUGGACAAAGUUGUCCCUGGUUAAGAGCAGUAGCUUUGAUUUAAGCCUAAUACAAAAAGGGCAGAGUCUCAGAAUGUGUUUGAAAGAAAAUAGAGCACUGUUUGAUUUCUGAGCCACAGAGGCUAAGAGAUGGGAGAACGGUAACCCAGAUCUGAAUGAGUCAGACAACUCCAACCUGUAUUAGGUUACAAGAGGAGGGACACAUCUCUCAUUUGGCUACGAGACAUGCCUGCUGUUGUACAAAUGUGCACUGCCUAUUCCAAGAAGGUAAUAUUGAACUGUGGUUGAAAGUAUUUUUGUGAUUAUCAAUUACUUCCUUCAGAAAGGUACAUACAAUUCACUGUUUUCCUUUGCCUUGGGUUUUUUUGUUUUUUUUUUCUGAGACAGAGGCUUGUUCUGUCACCCAGGCUGGAGUGCAGUGGUGCAAUCUCAGCUCACUGGAAUGUCCGCCUCCUGGGUUCAAGCGAUUCUCCUGCCUCAGCCUCCUGAAUAACUGGGAUUACAGGCGCCUGCCACCGCACCUGGCUAAUUUUUGUAUUUUUAGUAGAAACAGGGGUUUCACCAUCUUGACCAGGUUGGUCUUGAACGCCUGACCUCGUGAUCCACCUGCCUCGGCCUCCCAAAGUGGUGGGAUUACAGGUGUGAGCCACAGUGCCCAGCCACCUUGGCUUCUUUACUUAUGAAAUAAUAAUUAGAAUGCCCACAUAGUGACUGAAAAUUAUUAAUUAAUUCUUACAUUCAUGGUUACCUUAGUCAUUCUAUCAUAGAAAGGAGAAAGAAAGUUAAUAUUUGGAUAACCAGAAUCAUUGUUGCCCUACAUAAUAUUCUGAUUUUCCACCCUGAAAACUAAAUUUAUAUACCAGAAAUAGAUUCCUCUUUUCUUCUUUCUUUUGUUUCUUCAGGCAUGUGUGAAAAGAAGGAAAGGAAGGAAGAGUUAGUAUCCUGUGUCUCUUCUAUUCCAAAUUAUGAUGAGGUCAGUUCAAAGUCCUUGUACAUAAAGAUGAGUCAUUUCAGUACAGACUCUUUAGGUUUGCUGUGUUGAAAAAAAGCACCUUCAUUUUGGUGGGAAAAUAACUACAAAUUGUUGGUGUAUUUUUCUGUGUGUCAGAGGAUUCUGAAACCAGGAUGUGUCUGAGCUCUUGAGACAUAUUACAGAUGCCCUCAUGGGGUAGCUCAUUAAGCUGUUGGAACCAAGGGUGCAUUCAGUUCCCCUAAACUAAUUAAUAAUCCACUAGGGAGGGUGGGAGUGGUAGAAUAAAAAACAUUUUGGGUACCUGUUUUUAUUGAGCAAGUCAUACUGUUCUUACCUCAUUUGUGCCAAGUGAAAUGAAAUUCCUCCUUCCGGACACUUCGGAAGAACUCACUAUCUGAUUGCAAAGUUACAUCUUGGCAAGGAUGUAUAUAACCACUUGUCUAAUGGUGGAUGACUAGAAUAAUGUGGAAAGGAGAGACACAACUCAAAGCCAUACAAAUUACGGUUGCUUUAUUUAAUUCCUUGGCAUCAAUGGGAAAACAGCAAAAAGGGAAUUUCUUGCCUAUUCUGAAGGAUGAGGCACUCAAAUUAUUCUACAUGCCUUUCAGCUGCUUUCCACACCAGCAAACAUGAGGUUAAAAUAUAUUGAGAGGAAGGAAUAAAGCAUUGGAGAAGAUGAGACUUCCUAGAAAAAAAUUCAGUUACUCUUAGAAAGCUAAUAUUGCUGGCCAACAACACUGAAACCAGCUUUUUAAAUUCUGAAAUGUAAAUUAGACCCAAAGAGUCUGUACUGAAAUGACUCAUCUUUAUGUACAAGGACUUUGAAUCGACCUCAUCAUAAUUUGGAAUAGAAAAGAUACAGGAUACUAACUAUUCCUUCCUUUCUUUCUUUCUUUUCACAUGUGCCUGAAGAAACGGUUACAAUUCUGUUUUUCCUGAGGAAGUGUGUAAUUUGUUACUUUCAUUAAAGAAGCCCAUUCUCCAUAAAUACGUUAGUCCACCUUAUUUCCUGCUUACAAAGGCUCUCUUAGCCUUUCACCAUUUAACAACUCUUUUUAUAUUUUGACAAUAUAAAUGUUUUCCCCUUUGUCUCUGAAAAGAGGGAACAGGGUCAGCCCAAGACAAAAAGGCAGGAGAGUGUCUUGAGCUCCUUGUCCCUGCCAUGUCUCCAGCCUCUGUCUCUCCCAGGCCCAGGCAGAUAACCCGCCGGCUGGUGCCUCCCAACUCCCAAAGCUCCUUUCGCCUGGGUUCUGGUGUGCCAUCCAUGCUUACGCAUCUCUCUGUGCCCAGUGCCCUGCACUAAGCCAGGUGUGUAGCCGGCCCUCACGCUGUUAGCUGCUGUUAAAUGCCAGCACUCCGCCCCACCCAACUCUGUUGUGGCUCCUCCGACUGCCAGCACGGCUACGUCAUCAAACAGGUGCUCCCAAUCAUUCCCGGUCAUAUGAAAAAACCAAGUCACAUAGAUUUAAGUUUCCACUCCCAGAAUGGAGAUAUUUUUAUUAAAUAAGUUCCACUUAAAUAAAACCAGUUUCCCUAGUUGGUUAUAUUAAAGGCUGCAUAGGAAGAUAUCCAAGGGGCAGUCUAGGCAUGGUGGCUCAUACCUGUAAUCCCAGCACUUUGGGAGGCCGAGGCAGACAGAUCAUGAGGUCAAGAGAUCAAGACCAUUCUGUCCAACACGGUGAAACCCCGUCUCUACUAAAAAUACAAAAAUUAGCUGGGCGUG